GACGAACGCUGGCGGCGUGCCUAAUACAUGCAAGUAGAACGCAGUUUCGAACGGGUAAGUAACUCGUAGUUAACCGCCUCAUAGCGGGGGAUAACUAUUGGAAACGAUAGCUAAUACCGCAUACUGUGAGAUGGACCUGCGUUGUAUUAGCGAGUUGGUGAGGUAAAGCCUCCACAAGGCGACGAUCAAUAGCCGACCUGAGAGGGUGAUUGGCUAACCUGUGAUUGUGACAAUGCCCAUACGCCUACUGUAGUCCGCAGUAGGGAAUCCUCGGCAAUGGACGGAAGUCUGACCGAGCAACGCCGCUUGAGUGAAGAAGGUUUUCGGAUCGUAAAGCUCUGUUGUUAGAGAAGCGGUAACUAACCAGAACGGGACGGCUAACUACGUGCCAGCAGCCGCGGUAAUUC
rnacentral:rRNA from 1 species